rnacentral:rRNA from 1 species
CCUACGGGACGCAGCAGUGAGGAAUAUUGGUCAAUGGACGAGAGUCUGAACCAGCCAAGUAGCGUGAAGGAUGACUGCCCUAUGGGUUGUAAACUUCUUUUAUAAAGGAAUAAAACGAGGCACGUGUGCCUUUUUGCAUGUAUUUUAUGAAUAAGGAUCGGCUAACUCCGUGUCAGCAGCCGCGGUAAUACGGAGGUUCCGAGUGUUAUCCGGAUUUAUUGGGUUUAAAGGGAGCGUAGAUGGUUUGUAAAGUCAGUUGUGAAAGUUUGCGGCUCAACCGUAAAAUUGCAAUUGAUACUGGCCGUCUUGAGUACAGUUGAGGUAGGCGGAAUUCGUGGUGUAGCGGUGAAAUGCUUAGAUAUCACGAAGAACCCCGAUUGCGAAGGCAGCUUACUAAACUGUGACUGACAUUGAUGCUCGAAAGUGUGGGUAUCAAACAGGAUUAGAUACCCGAGUAGUC